GAUGAACGCUGGCGGCAUGCCUAACACAUGCAAGUCGAUCGGUAAGGCUCUUCGGAGUACACGAGAGGCGGACGGCUGAGUAACGCGUAGGAACACACCCUGCAGUGAGGGAUAAGACACCGAAAGGUGUUCUAAUACCGCAUACGGUCUUCGGAUUAAAGCAUUUAUGCGCUGAAGGAGUGGCCUGCGUCAUAUUAGAUAGUUGGUGAGGUAAUGGCUCACCAAGUCGAUGAUGUGUAGCUGGUCUGAGGGGAUGAUCAGCCAGACUGGAACUGAGACACGGUCCAGACUCCUACGGGAGGCAGCAGUGAGGAAUAUUUCACAAUGAGCGAAAGCUUGAUGGAGCAAUGCCGCGUGCAGGAUGAAGGCCCUCGGGUUGUAAACUGCUUUUAUAAGAGAAGAUUAUGACGGUAACUUAUGAAUAAGGGACGGCUAACUACGUG
rnacentral:rRNA from 1 species